CCUCCUUCUUCUUCCCCUCUCUGUCUCUGUCUCUGUGUCUCUGUCUCUGUCUCUGUGUCUCUGUCUCUGUCUCUCUGUCUCUGUCUCUCUCUUUUUCUGUACAAGCAUCUUUAAUCUCUUUCUCCCUGCACCCUCCAGUCCCUCUUCCUAUGGUGACUACCAGUGAACUCGUUCAAGACCACCUUUGUAAUAAACCUGCAUUUAAUAUCAUCUAAUCUGGCUUGAAUUGGCUCAUUUCACUGGUAGAGAAAUAAUUUAUCAUUGUUUACAGAAAGCUCUUUGGAUUAAAGGUGUGUGUGUGUGUGUGUGUGUGUGUGUGUGUGUGUGUGUGUGUGUGAGGACUGAGCCACACCACACCAACCUUUUUACAAUAAACAAAAAGCUCUGGGGUUAAAGGUGUGUGCUAGGACUGAGUUUACGCACGUUUUUUUUAGUUCACAAUCUUGGGCUUUGCGAUGUAUCAAAUAGUCUGCAACACUUCUUCAUUUCUAAUUCUAUUGAAUCUUCUCUCUCUCUGGUUAAUUUGGCUAGGGGAUUAUUAAUUUUGUUUAGUUUUCCAAAUAACCAGCUCUGUUUGGUGAAUCCCAUGUGCUGUUCUUUGUUUGAGGUAAAUAGACUGACUUCAAAGUUCUGUUGUAGUUGAGGAUAGCCUUGAACCUCUGUCCCCCUUCCCGUGACCAAAGCAUUUGGAUGAUCAGCACGAACCACCAGGCCUGGCUUGUUUGAUUGUCAUUAUUGUUUGCAACAGAGCCUCCCUACUCUGUGUAGCCUAAAACUGGCUUUGUAGAGCAGGCUGACUUUGAACCUACAGAGAUCCACCUGACUCAGCCUCCCGAGAGCAGGGGUGGGAUCCUGGCUCGUGCCUUGUUUUAGGUGGUGCUAGAGUUGAUCCCCAGACUCAAUUUGUACAGGAGCUCCAGACUGCUUUGAGUCUGAAGACCAGCUUUGUCUGAGGAAUCUACUGGACUUCCAGACGGGAAGCAGUCCAUUCCAGGUGGCCCCGGGUGUACGUGUGCUUGAGCACUGAGCUUCUUAAAGCUUUUAUCCCACGUGAGGAGAACUGAAGUUCCAACCACAAUGGAGCCCACAGCGCCUGCUCCCACCGACUCAGUGGGUCGCUCAUCAUGUUGGAGGACACGACAUGAAGAAAUGGGUUCUCCUCCAGCUCAAACAAUUCAGAAGGCACACACUCGGUUAAGACACAGUGAGAACAAGCCAGGUAGGUCAUCUCAGGGCCUGGAGAUAUAUUCGACUGACAUGCCUGGAAUUAAUCGGCUGUGUAAGGCUUCAGGAACCUGAGUGGUGUGUGUGUGUGUGUGUGUGUGGGGGGGUGUUAGCAUUCUGUCUAAGCUCCGCCCCACAGUUACCUGGCAACAGCCAAGUAGGCCUGACUCACUAUAAAAGGGGCUGCUUGCUCUCUCUCCUUGCUCUCUUGGUCUCUUGUUUCUCUCUUGCUCUUUCUCAGCUCCCCACCACCACCACCACAUGCUCAUGGGAGGCCUCUUCUCUCCUCCUCUACUUCUCUACUCUCUCUCUCUCUCUCUGCUCUUCUCUGCCUCUCUUACGCUCUUAACUUCUCUCUCCAUGCCCUGAAUAAACUCUAUUCUGUACUAUACCGUCGUGUGGCUGGUCCCUCAGGGGAAAGGGAUGCCUUGGCAUGGGCCCGCUGAGACACCCCCUUCCCCCUCACCAAGCCUCUAUAGAACAUAUCACACACACACACACACACACACACACACACUCACACACACACCUACAUCUUUUUAUAAACACACCAGGGGGAACUACCUAGGGGGUAUCUUGGUGACAGUAAACAGGCACCCUUCCCCUGGAAGUCCCCCUGGGUGAGCUCAGGUUGGUCCCAUUAAUGGCAGUUAGGAUUAGAAGUGGGGUUUAUUGCUUGAUAAAUUCCAUCCCAAAUAUAAUAUGGUGGCUUGGGGCCCAGCAGCCCUGAGGUCCUGGCUUCUGCUGCCUCCUGGACCUCUAUCUUUGAGGUUAUGAAAGAAAUCCUUAGGAACUUGGAGUUUUACCUUCUUGCCGUCUUAAGGGAUUCAUAUAUUCCAGGGGAAUACCAAGGUGGGUCAAUUUGGGCGGAGAGAUUGGAUGACUCCCGGUGAGUGUUUCUUUUGGAUAGUGAAUCUGUUGCGUAAGUCUGGACUAACCGGUAUGAUUGGACUCCUUAGGUUGUUUUCUGAUAGUGAAUUUUGGCUUCCUAUCAGGCGUUAACCUGUAUGGAUGUCAGACUGCCUGUGACCACAGGUGGGUAUUAUGAAGGGGUCCCUGUGUCCUCGGGGAAGCUGUCUCAUAACCCAGUUGAACCCAGUGGUUUUUGCUUCUGGUAGUUUGCAGGCCUGCCUGCCAGGCAAGCACAGUACUGGACAGGGUGGCACCUCAGAGCAUGUUCUUCCCAGGAGCCACCGGAUAUAAUAUUUUACAGAAAUCUACCUGGAAGGUGUCUCAGUGGACUGCCUGCCUAUGCGCUCCGCGGUUCCAGCUUGUCUUACUCAUUUCCAAGGUCCAGACUUUAUGAGGGUUUGUGGCCGUUUCCAUGGGGAGAUUAAAAAGGCAAAAUAGAAAAACCAUAAUUACAGGGCACACAUCAGUCUUCUCUCUAGGGACCUGGUGACAAGUCAUCCAUCUUCCUCUCCUGUAGUCUUCCUCAGCUCGGUGCAGUGCGCUGAGUCUUUGUCAUUGCUUAGGUGGGGGUUUUCCUUACCGGGAACCUGUGGGCAGGUUCAGACACAGGUAAGGAGGGCUCAGCCUCUUAAAUCAUCUGAUGAAUAAUCAAUCCACUGUCUCUGUUGCACGGAGAGAACAGUUAGCAAUUUUUAUCUUCUGAGCUUUUUGAUAAAAGGUAGAAGAUUGGCCCUGUCUCAUUUUUUUGCCUGUCUCAGGGGAAUAUUUAAAGUUAAAAAAAAAAAAAAAAAGCUUUAUUUCUCCUUUUUAUCUGUCUUGAGCUUUGUGGCCAUAGGUAUAAUGUAACUUUUUUUUUUUUAAUCAACAUUUAGGACUUUUGUCAGACUUAGGGAAACUUUGACCGCGAAGGCUGAGCUAUUGUCAGACCCCAGAGAGGACAGUUCUCAAACCCAAAUCCGGGAAUAAUGUCUGGGUUUGAGCACCUCAGCAGUUUUAGUUGUCCCCAGUUGGGUGGUCUGCUGGGAUCUGGCUACCAUCUGUCUUCCGACAAUGGCAGGGAAUAUGGGUCUCUAGUCUGUUAAGAACAUUCCACCUUGUUUGGCGUCUUUCUUCUUGGCUACUUAGUUUCUUUGUGUAGGUCAGCCUCGGGAGCAAUUCCUGGUCAGGCAGUGAACCGGUAUCUGGAGAGGGUCAGUGGGUUCUGAGGCUGCCUUCUCCGUGUCCUGUUCCCUCGUGCCUGUGGGGAAUUCUCCUUUUCUGGUAUUCUUUUGCUGGUUGGGGUAAGGAGACUCCCAUUUCAGCAUCAUGGAGUCGCACCCUGCUGUGCACCCCAUCUGGUUGGGGAAUCUGGCUGUUGUCUGGAAAAGGCUCUGCUGGGUUAUUGUCUGGAUAUGGGGCUCAUAAAGGAGAAGCUCCCGGAUGUCGCUUGGCUCAGCUUUUAAGGGGCCUGGCUACAUUUGCAGAGGACACCCCACGCCCACUUCUUUCUUUCUUUUUAAAUUUACUUUUAGAAUUAUUUAUUUUAUGUGUAUGAAUGUUCUGCCUGCUUGUAUAUCUGUGCAUCACAUGCAUGCCUGGUGUCUUAGUUAGGGUUUUACUGCUGUGAACAGAUACCAUGACCAAGGCAACUCUUUUUUUAAAAAAUGCUUACUUACUUACUUUAUUUAUUUAUUUAUUUAUUUAUUUAAAAGAUUUGUUUAUUUAAUUUAUAUGGGCACACUGUAGCUGUCUUCAGACACACCAGAAGAAGGCAUCAGAUCUCUUUACAGAUGGUUGUGAGCCACCAUGUGGUUUCUGGGAACUGAACAGGACCUCUGGAAGAGCAGUCAGUGCUCUUAACUGCUGAGCCAUCUCCCCAGCCCUAUUUUAUUUAUUUAUAUUUCAAAUGUUAUCCCCCUUCCAGGUUUCCCCUCUGCAAAUCCCCUAUCCUGUCCCUCCUCCCCUUGCUUCUAUGAAGGUGCUCCUCCCAUCCACUCACCCACUCCUGCUUCACUGCCCUGGCAUUCCCCUACAAUGGGGCAUUGAGCUUCCACAGGGUCAAGGGCCUCCCCUCCCAUUGAGGACAGACAAGGCCAUCUUCUGCUACAUAUGCAGCUGGAGCCAUGGGUCCAUCCGUGUACUCUUUGGCUGGUGGUUUAGUCCCUGGAAGCUCUGGAGGGGGGAAGCAUGGUUGGUUGAUAUUGUUCUUCCUAUGGGGUUGCAAAGGACAGGAGGCAACUCUCAUAAGGACAACAUUUAACUGGAGUUGGCUUACAGGUUCAGAGAUUCAGUCCAUUAUCCUCAAGGGGGGAGCACAGAAGCACUCAGGCAGUCAUGGUGCAGGAGGAGCUGAGACUUCUACAUUGUCUUAGUCAGGGUUUCUAUUCCUGCACAAAACAUCAUGACCAAGAAGCAAGUUGGGGAAGAAAGGGUUUAUUCAGCUUACACUUUCCAUAUUGCUGCUCAUCGCCAAGGAAGUCAGCGCUGGAACUCAUUUGAAGGCUGCUAAUAGAACACUGGCUUCAGCCGGGCGUGGUGGCAACACGCCUUUAAUCCCAGCACUUGGGAGGCAGAGGCAGGCAGAUUUCUGAGGGGGUGGGGGCUAGGUUGGGGUGAAAAUGUGUGUGUGGGGGGGCAGAGGGUUGGAGAGGUGGAGAUGGGGGUGCAGGUUGAAGAUCUCCCCCUUUAGAGCCUGCAGUUGGUCAUUGCUAAGGGUAGUUAAGGAAGUAGGGUGUGUGCUGGGCUGGGCUAGAGAAUAUUUGGUGACCUCUAAGCAUCUCUUGUGGCCAGCCAUCACAGGACAGGAAGGUCAAAAAUCCAGCAAUGCCACGACCAUAGCUCACAUGGGAUGUCACUCCCGCUGUACGGCCUUUCCCAGCCCAGAUUUCCUAGACUGGCAUUUAUUUGGCUAACACAAGAACACAGACUACAAGGGAAUUUGGUAAAGUUUUCCCUGCCACAGAUCUCGUACAGGAACUAGCUUAGGUAAACAACAGCCAUGCUGGGGAUUUCCGCUGGGCUUGUGGGCUGUUCGCACCCUUCGCGGACGUGGUGGUCACAGACCUUCACCUGUGGGUACGGCAUUGCUGCCUUAGGGAGGGGCUGGACUGUUCAUGAUAGUGGAAAAACAGGGGAAAGGGCUCCACAUUUCAGCCGUGGGAGGGCUAUCACCCCCCACAAAGGAAAGACUUUGUGGUGUGACCUUUUGGGAGGGGAAGCAUUCAGACUCCAGAAAGUGACAUCUCAUCUGUCCUCUGUAAAGUUCAGUAAACUCACUGGCUUCCCAGGGGGAACUUUGGUGGGUUUGUGCCUCGGUUUGUAAUGGCUACUAAAUACACCAGUGCACUUGGAACUUGGAGGGUCCUUCUCUUUCUGCGGACUGAUUUUGAGAGCGUCUAGAUUUACGUUCACAACCACAGUUUACACUCUCAGUGCAAGGGAGAGUGGAGAAAGUUCCUUUGACAGGGAACGGAUUCGCUAAUCUGUUCCCAGACGGCUGCUGGCUCAGGCUCAAGCUGCAUGAUAACCUUACGCGCUGGCUAGCCUGGUCUCCUCUGCCCUUCUAACCACUCAGUCCAGACAAGCACUAGCUAGUGGAAAGAACCCAGGGAGGUAUCAGAAUGUCACAUACCCACCUGUCACAUCACAGAACGUCCUGUUCCAGAAGGGUGUGACUCCUGGCAUCUGCGGCUGCUUGCCCCGAGGCCCACAGCGGAAUAUGUGGCUUCAGCCCUCAGCCAUCUUAUCCUCCAUCCAUCCAAGGAGCUGUUUGUGCUUUUGCGCAUGUACACAUGGUCCUGAGGGAACCUUGUUUUGCACAAGGCAUGAUUAUUUAAUAUGUAUUUGGGAUAUUUUCACUAUAGUUUUCUCUUCUUAGAGUAGAGACAAGUUUUCUUUUGGAUGAAGUUGUUUUAAUUAUAAAUAAAGCCUCUACUUACUUUUUUUUUUUUUUUUUCAGAACAGAACAGGACUCAUUCAAGGCGGUGCCUGAGCAGGUGAAGGAGCUUCCUGGGCAAACCUGGAGCCUCAGUCUCUAGAGCCCACAUAAAGGUGGAAAGAGAGAGGCUGAAGGGAAAGUUCCCUGAGUUUAACAAGUACUAGCUGUUCUUCCAGAGGACCAAGGCUCAGUUCCCUCGAGCCAGCUUACAACUGUCUGAUGCCCUGUUCUGGCUUCCUCAGGGACCAUAUGCAUGCAUGCAAAGUCAUGCAUGUGGACAGAACCCCUAUGCACAUAAAAUAAGAGUGAGAAAAGGAAAACCAGCUUUACAAAGCUCUCCUCUGACCUCGUGACAGUUUGGUCCCUUCUAGACUCAGACAAAUGCCAUAUUCUCUCUCAUAUGUGGAGUAUAUAUAUUUAAAUAAGUAAGUAAGUAAAUAAAUAAAUAAAUAAAUAUGCCAUGUAGUGGUGACGCAUGCCUUUAAUCCCAGCACUUGGGAGGCAGAGGCAGGCAGAUUUCUGAGUUCAAGGCCAGCCUGGUCUACAGAGUGAGUUCCAGGACAUACAGGGCUACUACACAGAGAUACCUUGUCUUGAAAAACCUAAAUAAACAAACAAGCAAAUAAAUAUGUAUAUGUGUAUGUGUGUGCAUGUGUGUGUGUGUGAGAGAGAGAGGAGGGAGGGAUGGAGAGAGGGAGGGAACAGUGGGGUAAAUAUGAUUGAGCAAGGUACAAUAAUACAUGUGUAUGAAAACCAUAUUUAUACACUAGUCAAACAUGAACAAAUUUUAAAAAUUCAUAAGGGCUAAGGCUAUAUUAUAGUUCAAUGGUAGCAUGUACUAUGCUUUAGGUUGAGCAUCCAAUACUGAUC
rnacentral:lncRNA from 1 species